rnacentral:rRNA from 1 species
UACAGAGGUGGCAAGCGUUUGUUCGGAAUUACUGGGCGUAAAGGGCGAGUAGGCGGCCUUCUAAGUCAGACGUGAAAUCCCCCGGCUUAACCUGGGAACUGCGUCUGAUACUGGGAGGCUUGAGUAUGGGAGAGGGAUGUAGAAUUCCAGGUGUAGCGGUGAAAUGCGUAGAUAUCUGGAGGAAUACCGGUGGCGAAGGCGGCAUCCUGGACCAUUCUGACGCUGAAUCGCGAAACUAGGGGAGCAA